AGAGAUGUCUUUAAAAAUCGAACAUUAUAAUUUUUCAUUUUAGUGUUAUAGAAUUACUAAAAUUUAUGGUUCUUGCUUAAGCCCAGUUGUCAUUUUCCUUUCAGAUUUUCCACAAUGGCAUUCUGAAUCAAGCUAAGUUGAAGCAAAAAAAGGCGCAAGAUUUUUCCUUUUUCUCCCCUUUCCUCUCUCCUCCUUUUCUGAGACAGUGAGAGUGAAAGCUGCGAGUGUGCUUGUGUGUGUGUGAAGGAAAGAGGCAGAGAGAGAGAGAGCAAAACGAGUCGUUUUAAUUGCGUGAAGAAGAAGAACCUGAUUCCCUCAACAUCCCCAAGUAAAAAGGACAACAACAAUCACUUUCCUUCCUCCCUUUGCUUUAAAGCACACAAAAAUUGAACAAAGCUCUUUCCCAAACAAGAAAUAAUCAAUUCUCUCUUCCUCUCUGUUGAGCCCUUUUUUUCUCAAAAUCUCAUCUCUAAUUCUUUCAGCCGAUUUCCCAUCGUUUAGUAGAUAAGCACAAAUGUGGGACUAUUCAAUGUGCAGUCGGCUGCCUUAUGCAUCAUUCCUUUUUCUUGUUACAAUCAUCGAAUUAAAUUAAAGGUACUAAACAACAAAAAGGUGUCGUCUUGUCUUCAUUUGGGCUAUAUUUUUGUCCCAUCAUAUGCUUCCUUUUCUUUCUCCUGCUCAUAGCUUUGGAAGUUUGUGUUUGAGUGAUACUUGAGCUGCAAUGGGCUCUGUUGCAUUUGGUGGUGAAGAUGAGAGUUACAAGUUUCCAACAAUGAUUCUUGAUGGAUGUGGUGCUGUUAAUUAUGCCUCGAUUCCUCGAAAAGUACGGUCUCGUGCGUGGUUAUGAAAGCUCAAAGCUUACCAUUGUGAUUUUUUAUUGAAGUUUGUUUGAGGGAAGACUGAUUGGAUCCUACUCAUCUUCUAGUUGCUUUCUUGUGUACCAAACUUUUUCUUACCUUUUGUUUCUUUACUGGCUUUUCUUGCUUGCUUUUGGCAGUUGAAGAUUCUCUAUUUUGCUUUAUCUGAACUACUGAGGAAUGUACUUUGGAAAAUGGAAAUGAUGUGAAAUUUUUUUGUAACUCUUUUUAGCUGUGGUGUAGUAACUUUGACUAUUUUCAUUUGGUUUAUGAAUAUGGACUAUCUCUUUUAGAUGAUGUAUUGUGGGAAUUUCUUUCAUUUUGUAGUCAUGUUUACUUUUCUUAUUACUGUAAUUUGUUGUAGACAAUUUGCUAAAGGCAAUUUUUAAGUCCUUAUUCAACCAGAUGAAAUUUGUUUCUGUCAUUGAAGUGUUUACAGCAAUCAAUGCUUAAUGUUUUGUGUACAUGUCUUGUUUUUUAUGUUGUAGCCAUAAAAAAGCGAGGCCGUGAGUAUACUUCACCGUUGGUAACUUCAAGGAAGCAGCAUCGUGCAUCGACUACAGUUGAUACAGUCAGAAAAGAGGCUGCUAAGAAAUCCAAACUGAAUAAGAAUCAGAGACAACGCAUCACCAAGGAUGAGGAAGAAGUGGCCGAAACCUUGUAUACUUUGGCUGGUAUGUUCUCUGAUGCUGAUCAUCAGAAAAUUGACGACGAAGAAGAUAUCCGUCCGACUCCACAAGAAGACACUAGGAAAAUCAGCUCAAAAGUAACUCUUGGAGCUGUUUGUCCUUCAAAUGUGGUUAAAUCAACAGCAGAAGUCAUAUCCCGAACAUUAGAAGCUCGACAGCCCAAGCUCUUUUUCUCUAGCAAGCAGGCGGCGAAACCAAUAAUUGACAUGAAUCAAAGUGGUGGAGAGGAAAUUCACUUGGAUCAGGUUGCAGCUUCUGGAUUUGAGUAUGGCAAAAACAAAUACUCCUAUAAGGAUUUGGUUCAGUCACCCAACUUGCCUGCAACCCGAGCCACAAGAUGUGAGACGUAUAAAUCAUGCUGCUUAUUUGAGGGCACGACUUUUUCCUCUGGGCCUCGUGUCGUUGGGAACAAAAUUAGUACUGAAAUGGUAUGAUGCUCAAGGAUAAUAUGUGUUUCGAACCCAACAUGCUUAUCAGCACCUUUUAAUGGUUCAGCAUGCCAGAGUUGCUGCUGAAUCGAACAAGUCGUGGAAGAGACAACCAAAUUCUGAGAACAAAUGGCAGAAACAGCAACACGUAUUUUAGUGCCAU